UACAGAGGUCCCAAGCGUUGUUCGGAUUCAUUGGGCGUAAAGGGUGCGUAGGCGGCGCGGUAAGUCGGGUGUGAAAUCUCGGAGCUUAACUCCGAAACUGCAUUCGAUACUGCCGUGCUUGAGGACUGGAGAGGAGACUGGAAUUUACGGUGUAGCGGUGAAAUGCGUAGAUAUCGUAAGGAAGACUAGUGGCGAAGGCGGGUCUCUGGACAGUUCCUGACGCUGAGGCACGAAGGCCAGGGGAGCAAACGGG
rnacentral:rRNA from 1 species